ACUGUUCUUUAUGUUUUUACUGAAAUAUUUUGCUGCUGUUACGCUAUAUGCUUUAGAGUUGCAUCCACUGAUCUAUAAUAUAUAUUAUAUUAUAGAUGGUUUAAUUUUUUAACCAUUUUAAAGCAUAAACUGAGCGAAGACUGCGUUCAUUAGAGUGUGUUUUGUUCAGGCGCUCACCGGGGCGCUUUGUUUUGGGGUCCUUCCUCGCAGCUCCGCGCCAGUCGCGCAGCAGUCGCUCGUCGGGAGCGGUUUAAUAUUUGCAGUUUUUGCAGAUUUCCCAUUCAUAUUUGGAUUCAUAUUUGGACUGAUCGUCGGGUGUGUGCUUGUGCCGCAGCAGAGAUGAAUCUGGAGUUGCUCGAGUCGUUCGGGCAGAACUAUCCAGAGGAGGCGGAUGGCACUCUGGACUGCAUCAGUAUGGCUCUGACCUGCACGUUUAACCGCUGGGGGACGCUGCUCGCUGUUCGGCUGGCACA